CUGUAGGCCAGAUGUGGGAAACGCAAAAACAGCAAACAGCCUAAGCCAUGCUCGUUCCUUUCUCUCCUAGAGGCGUGAAAUAAAAUAUUUUGAAAUUGGUCCUUGGAGCACCUCAAAUCGCGUCUCUCCAACUAUUCCAAUUACCGAUCACUUUUCCACAAAACAUUGUGAGGACCAUUUUCAGAAGAUCGAAACUUGCUAGCAUGUUAUCACUGUAAGAAACGACAUCAUUAAUUUUCCUCUGUGGUAAAACUAGACCGAGCCUUGAGUGUACGAAUCCAUAUUUACAGUUGGGAGGCAGCUACUCUCGUCGACACGGGUUGUUUUCCUAGCCUGCUGCCAACAUCGGAGGGACUCUCAUUUUGAACUUGUCUGUGCACAGCAUCAAGUGUGCUCCUGGAAGAGAGGCAACAGCGAGGAAAUCCUAAAAGACCGAGUCCUAGUCUCAGAAGAAAUCGCCUGCAAGGUUGAGAGACAGAAAGAAAAUCCCUGGAGACUCCACGUCUAACCCAGGCUAAAGGCAAAGCUCUACAGCGGUGUGUAGGAUAUCUCUCUCGUUCGCUACAGCCCUUGCCACCGAAGUACCAGACGCUUUUAGUGUGUGAAAGACCAGGCGUUGAUUUAAUGUAUCUGGAAGGGAGAGGGGAUAGAGGAUGCAACUUAAUAAAUAUUCCUCUAGUCUCGCUCAUGAAAACAUCCAAAACAUCUUUCGGCGUUUGCAUUUAAUGACUGCAACGUGAACGAUGGAGGCGAGAAGCAGUCGAGGGAAUGGCUCGUUUCUCUUAGUGUUGGCUCGGAAUUGUCAAACAGUUACUUUCUGUUCAUUGUAGGGAAAUAGGUCACACUUUGAGUGAAAAGGACAGUUGGUUCAAGCCAAUAACCCUUUGUUCAAGUGCUGUUUGACAGUCCCUGAGCAGAACAUCGUUGCGUGAAGUUUCAUCUCCUGUCCAGUACCUUUAGAUACAUUAUUAAAUCCCAAAGUCAUAUUCCACGGAGCGCCUGGAAGGAAUAUUUCGUCGAAACGCGUCUUGCCAACCAACGUGUUAGCACCCGUAAGGAAGCCUGCUGGACUGGCCCGAGAACCCGGCCGCCAGGAUGGACACGAAUCCCUCAUUAGCAGUUCCAACUUGAAAAGUCAACUGGGCUGGUCCAACACCACCAUCCAGGAGAUUCCCAAAGGCUCAAAAGGCAAUCUGUGCACCCACCCCACGGGAACCUUGCCCCUUCCUCUGCGUCUCCCUCCGGUUUUAAAUUGGGAUGAUUGCUAGUUCGCUUUCGGAUUUUUUCUCCCAGACAUUCGGGGGCUGCUUUUGUGGCUCCUUUGUUAACAGGCUGUCGUGCAGCUUUCCCCCCUUUUCUUUCUCCAAUGCCUAUUUGCCUGGUAUCGGCUCGUCUCCGGGGCAACCGCGGGGAAGAUUCGGAGCCCCAGGCGCCGGGAGGGGGAAGGGGCGGAGCCCGGCGGAGUGGGGGCGGGGAGGGGCGCGAGAGGAGGGGCGGAGGGAGUGGGUCAGGAGGAGACCCCAGGACCCACGAGGAGCAGAUGGCCGCUCCGGGGCGGAGCCCGUGAGCGUCAGGGGAGCGGGAGAGCCAAUCCGUCCCUGCAGCAGCGCGGGAGAGAGCCAACGAGAGUAAACACGCGGGCUGUCCNNNNNNNNNNNNNNNNNNNNNNNNNNNNNNNNNNNNNNNNNNNNNCCUACUUUGCAGCUGAAGACGUGAUUUCCUUUGGAUAAGAAAGCUCAUUGCCAGUGUGGUUGGAAAGCUGGCGGUCCCCGGGAGAAUGGGUUGGGAGGCGGGUUUGGGCGGAGCUCUGAAAUCUCCCUCUCCCUUUCCUCCCCUCCCACCCCGACUCAGGCACCCACUAAGCCUGGCGAGAAUGGAAGAGGCGGGUGGAUGGGAGAGCGGGGCGGGGCUGGGAAAAGGGAAGAGAUUGACUCUUGCUAUGAACCUUAAGGAAUGCCAGCAAGCUAUUGGAGCUGCUGGUCUUUACCUGCUGCAGUUCCCCUACAGUUUGGUGGUCUCCCCGUAGAGUUAAGGGUUUGGGGGGGGGGGGAGGCGGGGAAACACCCGCCAAAUGCAUUUAUAUAAGUGAGAUUAAAGAACCCAUAAGGACAUUAAAAAUUGGAAGCAGGCGCCUAUAGCCAACUC
ensembl:processed_transcript 5930403N24Rik RIKEN cDNA 5930403N24 gene